AAGUCGUAACAAGGUAACCGUAGGUGAACCUGCGGUUGGAUCAUUAACAAAUAUAGAAGGUCUUCAAGACCUCUCUAACCUAUUGUGAAUCGUUUAUUGUCUCUGGGCGAGUAAUCGCCAAGUAAACUUUGUAAAAAAUUAUUAGUCUAUAAAUCUUUUUAUUAAAUUAAAAACAACUUUUAACAACGGAUCUCUAGGCUCUC
rnacentral:misc_RNA from 1 species